AUUGAACGCUGGCGGCGUGCCUAAUACAUGCAAGUCGAGCGAACCACUUCGGUGGUGAGCGGCGAACGGGUGAGUAACACGUAGGUGAUCUGCCCAUCAGACGGGGACAACGAUUGGAAACGAUCGCUAAUACCGGAUAGGACGAAAGUUUAAAGGUGCUUCUGGCACCGCUGAUGGAUGAGCCUGCGGCGCAUUAGCUAGUUGGUAGGGUAAAGGCCUACCAAGGCGACGAUGCGUAGCCGACCUGAGAGGGUGAACGGCCACACUGGGACUGAGACACGGCCCAGACUCCUACGGGAGGCAGCAGUAGGGAAUCUUCGGCAAUGGGCGAAAGCCUGACCGAGCAACGCCGCGUGAAUGAUGAAGGUCUUCGGGUUGUAAAAUUCUGUUAUAAGGGAAGAACGACUUUAGUAGGAAAUGGCUAGAGUGUGACGGUACCUUAUGAGAAAGCCACGGCUAACUACGUGCCAGCCGCCGCGGUAAGAC
rnacentral:rRNA from 1 species